rnacentral:tRNA from 1 species
GGGAAGGUAGCUCAGUGGUAGAGUGCUUGCCUUGCAUGCAUGAAGCCCUGGAUUCCAUUCCU